rnacentral:siRNA from 1 species
UAGGAAGUGAGUCUCAAGAAGAA